rnacentral:piRNA from 1 species
UCAGAGCACCAAAAAGUAGCAAGUUUGUA